rnacentral:lncRNA from 1 species
GAAGAUGUUUUGGCAUUAGACUCUAAGGAACUGGAACCACAUUUGCAGAACUGAUAACAGAUGCUGGAAGUUGGAGCUGCUGCCUAUUAUAUUCUUGGAUUAAAACAGAGAGCCCCAGAGAGAAUUAAGCUUCAUCCCUGCCACCAACAAUGCCUCAUGCAUGAAGCAGAUGUUCACAUCAGCUGCACAGGCAGUCAAUCGAAUAACAAUAGCAUCAUUAUUGAAAGAUCACUGAGACACACCAUCCUCCAGGUUCUUCACGUGCACAGCCAAUUUCAGCCUCAUGACAGCCCACGGGAUUGGUUCUCCAUA